rnacentral:rRNA from 1 species
GACAGAGGACGCAAGCGUUAUCCGGAAUGAUUGGGCGUAAAGCGUCUGUAGGUGGCUUUUUAAGUCCGCCGUCAAAUCCCAGGGCUCAACCCUGGACAGGCGGUGGAAACUACCAAGCUGGAGUACGGUAGGGGCAGAGGGAAUUUCCGGUGGAGCGGUGAAAUGACGUAGAGAGUCGGAAAAGAACACCAGCGGCGAAAGCACUCUGCUGGGCCGAACACUGACACUGAGAGACGAAAGCUAGGGGAGCGAAUGGG